AAAUAACAUAUAAUAUUUUUCAAAAUUUAGUGGUCAAAACUUGACAUUUUAAACUUUGACAAUAGUUGUAACAAUUAACUCCUCUUCCUCCUCUACUGACUGGCAUUACCCCUACUGAUUUGUGGUGUUCAGUCGUAUGCAUCGAUAUAUACUCUUUGACUUGGAUCUAUAUACAGCUGAGAAUUUCCCACUUUCUGCACCACAUCAAACCUAAUGUCGCGUCGAGAAGACCGUAAUUACGACUCGAAACGUCACCGUUCGCGGUUCGACCGUGAAGCCAGGUAAACAAAACUCCACCCUUUUCUUGUAUUUUUUAUAUUUACAUUUUCAUUUUCUGCCUGACGAUCGAUUUUUUUUUUUUUUUUCAUUUUUGUCAAGGUCUCUGCUUUUGGAAUGAAAUUAGAUUUCUUCGAGACCGGAUUUAAGAAUUUUCUUUUAUUAUCCUAAAACUUAGGGUUUUGUUACAAUAGCCAUGAUGACAUGAAUGCGAUUAAUUUAUAAACUUGUAAGUUAUUGUUAUUUGUAAAUAUGGAGGCUCGGAUUGAUUCUNCCAUA
rnacentral:lncRNA from 1 species